CACGUAGGGCGCAAGCGUUGUCCGGAAUUAUUGGGCGUAAAGAGCUCGUAGGCGGUCUGUUACGUCUGCUGUGAAAACCCAGGGCUUAACCCUGGGCUUGCAGUGGAUACGGGCAGACUAGAGGCAGGUAGGGGAGAAUGGAAUUCCCGGUGUAGCGGUGAAAUGCGCAGAUAUCAGGAGGAACACCGGUGGCGAAGGCGGGUCUCUGGGCCGAUACUGACGCUGAGGAGCGAAAGCGUGGGGAGCGAGCAGG
rnacentral:rRNA from 1 species